UCCGCGAGGAUGGAUCUGAAGGAAGGAGGAGGCAAAACCGCGAGUCGAUGAACAAGAACCACAUGGUAGGCGUCAGGACAUGGACGAGUCCCCAACUAUGGAUUAAGUCCCAGACUGCACGGAUUGUCCUGGUGUAAAUGUGGCGGCUGCAUGCGGUGAAAGAUUU
rnacentral:ncRNA from 1 species